AUAAAGGCUUUUUUAAAAGACAUUAAUAUCAACUUUACUAAGAUGU
rfam:Neotoma lepida isolate 417 scaffold_9298, whole genome shotgun sequence.